GACGAACGCUGGCGGCGUGCUUAACACAUGCAAGUCGAACGGUAAGGCCCCAGCUUGCUGGGGUACACGAGUGGCGAACGGGUGAGUAACACGUGGGUGACCUGCCCCGCACUUCGGGAUAAGCCUGGGAAACUGGGUCUAAUACCGGAUAGGACCGCACCGUGAGGGUGUGGUGGAAAGUUUUUCGGUGUGGGAUGGGCCCGCGGCCUAUCAGCUUGUUGGUGGGGUAAUGGCCUACCAAGGCGGCGACGGGUAGCCGGCCUGAGAGGGUGGACGGCCACAUUGGGACUGAGACACGGCCCAGACUCCUACGGGAGGCAGCAGUGGGGAAUAUUGCACAAUGGACGGAAGCCUGAUGCAGCGACGCCGCGUGGGGGAUGACGGCCUUCGGGUUGUAAACUCCUUUCACCAUCGACGAAGGUUUUCUGACGGUAGAUGGAGAAGAAGCACCGGCUAACUACGUG
rnacentral:rRNA from 1 species